GAUGAACGCUAGCGGCGCGCUUAAUGCAUGCAAGUCGAGCGAUGAGGCUCCUUCGGGAGUACAUCAGCGGCAGACGGGUGAGUAACACGUAGGUGACCUGCCCCAAAGACGAGGAUAACGGCUGGAAACAGGCGCUAAUACUCGAUGGUCUUGUGGAGUCGCAUUCACAAGUAAAAGCUCCGGUGCUUUGGGAGGGGCCUGCGGCCUAUCAGCUAGUUGGUGAGGUAACGGCUCACCAAGGCGAAGACGGGUAGGGGGUGUGAGAGCACGACCCCCCACAAUGGGACUGAGACACGGCCCAUACUCCUACGGGAGGCAGCAGCAGGGAAUAUUGCGCAAUGGACGGAAGUCUGACGCAGCGACGCCGCGUGGAUGAUGACGGCCUUCGGGUUGUAAAAUCCUUUUCAGGGGGACGAGGAAGGACGGUACCCUUGGAAUAAGCGUCGGCUAACUACGUGCCAGCAGCCGCGGUAAGACGUAGGACGCAAGCGUUAUCCGGAUUUACUGGGCGUAAAGCGUCUGUAGGCGGUUAGGUAAGUUGGGUGUGAAAGCUCCGGGCUCAACCCGGAGAGGUCAUUCAAUACUGCCGAACUUGAGGACAUCAGAGGAGCGUGGAAUUUCCGGUGUAGCGGUAAAAUGCGCAGAUAUCGGAAGGAACACCAAUGGCGAAGGCAGCGCUCUGGGGUGGGCCUGACGCUAAGAGACGAAAGCUAGGGGAGCGAACAGGAUUAGAGACCCUGGUAGUCCUAGCCCUAAACGAUGGAUGCUAGGUGUGGGGGCGAGAGUCUCCGUGCCGGAGUUAACGCGCUAAGCAUCCCGCCUGGGGAUUACGGCCGCAAGGCUAAAACUCAAACGAAUUGACGGGGCCCCGCACAAGCAGC
rnacentral:rRNA from 1 species